rnacentral:rRNA from 1 species
AAAUUGAAGAGUUUGAUCAUGGCUCAGAUUGAACGCUGGCGGCAGGCCUAACACAUGCAAGUCGAGCGGUAGCACAGAGAGCUUGCUCUCGGGUGACGAGCGGCGGACGGGUGAGUAAUGUCUGGGAAACUGCCUGAUGGAGGGGGAUAACUACUGGAAACGGUAGCUAAUACCGCAUAAUGUCGCAAGACCAAAGUGGGGGACCUUCGGGCCUCAUGCCAUCAGAUGUGCCCAGAUGGGAUUAGCUAGUAGGUGGGGUAACGGCUCACCUAGGCGACGAUCCCUAGCUGGUCUGAGAGGAUGACCAGCCACACUGGAACUGAGACACGGUCCAGACUCCUACGGGAGGCAGCAGUGGGGAAUAUUGCACAAUGGGCGCAAGCCUGAUGCAGCCAUGCCGCGUGUGUGAAGAAGGCCUUCGGGUUGUAAAGCACUUUCAGCGGGGAGGAAGGCGUUAAGGUUAAUAACCUUGGCGAUUGACGUUACCCGCAGAAGAAGCACCGGCUAACUCCGUGCCAGCAGCCGCGGUAAUACGGAGGGUGCAAGCGUUAAUCGGAAUUACUGGGCGUAAAGCGCACGCAGGCGGUCUGUCAAGUCGGAUGUGAAAUCCCCGGGCUCAACCUGGGAACUGCAUUCGAAACUGGCAGGCUAGAGUCUUGUAGAGGGGGGUAGAAUUCCAGGUGUAGCGGUGAAAUGCGUAGAGAUCUGGAGGAAUACCGGUGGCGAAGGCGGCCCCCUGGACAAAGACUGACGCUCAGGUGCGAAAGCGUGGGGAGCAAACAGGAUUAGAUACCCUGGUAGUCCACGCCGUAAACGAUGUCGAUUUGGAGGUUGUGCCCUUGAGGCGUGGCUUCCGGAGCUAACGCGUUAAAUCGACCGCCUGGGGAGUACGGCCGCAAGGUUAAAACUCAAAUGAAUUGACGGGGCCCGCACAAGCGGUGGAGCAUGUGGUUUAAUUCGAUGCAACGCGAAGAACCUUACCUGGUCUUGACAUCCACAGAACUUUCCAGAGAUGGAUUGGUGCCUUCGGGAACUGUGAGACAGGUGCUGCAUGGCUGUCGUCAGCUCGUGUUGUGAAAUGUUGGGUUAAGUCCCGCAACGAGCGCAACCCUUAUCCUUUGUUGCCAGCGGUUCGGCCGGGAACUCAAAGGAGACUGCCAGUGAUAAACUGGAGGAAGGUGGGGAUGACGUCAAGUCAUCAUGGCCCUUACGACCAGGGCUACACACGUGCUACAAUGGCAUAUACAAAGAGAAGCGACCUCGCGAGAGCAAGCGGACCUCAUAAAGUAUGUCGUAGUCCGGAUUGGAGUCUGCAACUCGACUCCAUGAAGUCGGAAUCGCUAGUAAUCGUAGAUCAGAAUGCUACGGUGAAUACGUUCCCGGGCCUUGUACACACCGCCCGUCACACCAUGGGAGUGGGUUGCAAAAGAAGUAGGUAGCUUAACCUUCGGGAGGGCGCUUACCACUUUGUGAUUCAUGACUGGGGUGAAGUCGUAACAAGGUAACCGUAGGGGAACCUGCGGUUGGAUCACCUCCUUACCUUAAAGAA